GUCAGUGUGGUGUAGUGGUUUGAGUGUUGGACUAUGACUCUAGAGACAAGGGUUCAAAUCCCUGCUCAGCCA